UUUGCUACAGAUUGGUCGACAAGAAAAUAUGAUUCCAAGUAGUGAUUUUCCUCCAGACCUCCUAGAUGAACUCUGCCAGGUACCAUGUAGCUGCGUCAAUGUUCCGGACUGCUCUGCUGAGGUUAAGAAAUUACUUAACAGUAACAGCAUGACUGUGUUUUGAUUUUUUCUCUAAAAUAUUGAAACAGAAAAACAAGAGAAAGAAAGGAGUUGCUUUCUUAUGAAUAUUUCAUCAAGAUCUUAAGGUCAUAAAAGGAACAUCUGAUCUUGGGAAACAAGGGAUGAUUAGAAAAAACUGAGUAAUUGAAUGCAUAGAUUACAUAUAUCCCUUGACAUGCAAAAAGGCAAAACAUUAUUUCAUGUCUUCUGCAGAAAAAAAGGGUAUCUCUAUUUACUAAUGAGAAACAGGCAAGAAAAAGGAGAUUCCAUCAUUCCCUUUAGGUUAAAUUAGAAACAAGGACCAGAGUCUUGGAAUCUAAGGAGAGAAAGAAUGACAAUUUUUACUUCAGCUAGAAAUGACAGUCCACUACAAUUCACCACCAU